rnacentral:rRNA from 1 species
UACGGAGGGUGCAAGCGUUAUCCGGAUUUACUGGGUUUAAAGGGAGCGUAGGUGGGUCGGUAAGUCAGUGGUGAAAUCUUCGAGCUUAACUCGGAAACUGCCAUUGAUACUAUCGAUCUUGAAUUAUCUGGAGGUAAGCGGAAUAUGUCAUGUAGCGGUGAAAAUGCUUAGAUAUGACAUAGAACACCAAUUGCGAAGGCAGCUAACUACGCGAUAAUUGACGCUGAUGCACGAAAGCGUGGGGAUCAAACAGG